GUGAGUCAUCGAGUCUUUGAACGCACCUUGCGCUCCUUGGUAUUCCUUGGAGCAUGCCUGUUUGAGUGUCAUGAAUAUCUCAAUCUCCAAAUGGCUUGCCUUUUGGUUGACUUGGACUUGGAGGUGCUGCUGGGUGUGACCUCUAGCUCCUCUUAAAUGCAUUAGCUUGGAACCUUUAUGUGCUUCUUUGGUGUGAUAAUAUCUACUCCAUCUGAUUCACAGAGUCAAAGUUGCUUGCAGCUUCGACUACAAGGAUCUGCUUCCAAUCGUCCUUUCAGGACACCCCCUUUGACAUCCUGACCUCAGAUCAGGUAGGACUACCCGCUGAACUUAAGCAUAUCAAUAAGCGGAGG
rnacentral:rRNA from 1 species